AUCAGCUUCUGUUACUUUGGAUUCAGAUCAACGGAAAAAAGAAACAAUGAAUGGAAGACAAGUAGCCUGUUGCUCAAAACAUAUGGGUAGAUCAUCAUCCUGGUGGUGGGCAUUGGUUUGCUGCGGGUCUCUCUCCUAAUAUUCCAGGCAGAAACAGGGUCUCCAUGCAUAGCAGCCCACAUUUUCAGGAUUGAAGGAGCGUCUUGGAGAAUAUUACUUGCAGUCAUGACUAUGAUCUAUGAAUUGUAGAUGUGAUCUUUGUUUAUGUGGCUUGUUUAUGUAGUCAUCCAUGGAGGAGAAGUGGAAGUUGCAGAUAUCAUGCCUAGAUUUGUUUAUUUUUUCUUUCACAAAAGUGAUUUGAUAACAACUAUUGAGGUUGUAUAUUAAUUUUCAUUUUUUUUUAAAUUUUAAAUAUUGCAGUCACCAUUGUUAGAUAGUGUGUUUUCUGAUGAUGGGGCCCACAGUUUGUAAGUCACCAAAAAAAUGAUAGUGCAUUUUUGAGUCUUUGUCACGCCAGCAAUGGCAACCAUUCAAAUUUUGGUGUCUAAGAUGGUGACUAUUGCCAUUACACACCAAUCAUUGUUGUCUUUUACUUCAAUCCACACCAUUGUGAAUGGUGUUUAUAGCUCAGUUUU